GAUGAACGCUGGCGGCGUGCCUAAUACAUGCAAGUCGAGCGAACGGACGAGAAGCUUGCUUCUCUGAUGUUAGCGGCGGACGGGUGAGUAACACGUGGAUAACCUACCUAUAAGACUGGGAUAACUUCGGGAAACCGGAGCUAAUACCGGAUGAUAUUUUGAACCGCAUGGUUCAAAAGUGAAAGACGGUCUUGCUGUCACUUAUAGAUGGAUCCGCGCUGCAUUAGCUAGUUGGUAAGGUAACGGCUUACCAAGGCAACGAUGCAUAGCCGACCUGAGAGGGUGAUCGGCCACACUGGAACUGAGACACGGUCCAGACUCCUACGGGAGGCAGCAGUAGGGAAUCUUCCGCAAUGGGCGAAAGCCUGACGGAGCAACGCCGCGUGAGUGAUGAAGGUCUUCGGAUCGUAAAACGCUGUUAUUAGGGAAGAACAUAUGUGUAAGUAACUGUGCACAUCUGGACGGUACCUAAUCAGAAAGCCACGGCUAACUACGU
rnacentral:rRNA from 1 species